rnacentral:rRNA from 1 species
UACGUAGGGUCCGAUCGUUGUCCGGAAUUAUUGGGCGUAAAGGGCGCGUAGGCGGUUUGUCGCGUCGGGUGUGAAAACUCAGGGCUCAACCCUGAGCGUGCUUCCGAUACGGGCAGACUAGAGGUAUGCAGGGGAGAACGGAAUUCCUGGUGUAGCGGUGGAAUGCGCAGAUAUCAGGAGGAACACCGGUGGCGAAGGCGGUUCUCUGGGCAUUACCUGACGCUGAGGAGCGAAAGCAUGGGGAGCGAACAGG